UUCUGUUCCGGGAAUAAGGGGGGGGGUGAGCCUCCUCCCAAACUGCCUGCUUCUCCGGGAAGUGGAGCUUCUACGCCGGAUUGCCGCUCAGCGCCAUAGCUCUAGGGGCGCGCCCUUUCGGAAAGGGGAGGAGGGGCGGCAGGGGACCCCCCCCAACAAAACAUCGAUGUUGCAUUAAAGGAAAUGAGAAUCGGGAUCGAGGACAAAGAGGCAAUGUCAGGGUGACUGACAAGCUGAGAUACUUCCCAGUUAAAGGACCCAUUUUCAUGAUAGACAGUGCUUGUGGCUGGAGGCUCUACAGACAUGGUGUGCCUACGGAGGCCAAAGACUACCAGUAUUAGCACAGGAUUUCCUUUCCUCCCACACUGAGGAGGGUCAUGGAGAAGAGAGACAGACUUCCAGGGGAAAGGGCACCUUUGUUUUCAUUAGAUAUAGACAUUGACAUGUGUGAAAUGUGGAACAUGCUUCAUUGAAUGAGCACACAUAGCUCACAUCAACAAACCCCAAAAGUGGCGAAACCAUUUAAAGGUAUAGAGUGUGAAAAGACUUUCACUGAUAGAACACAUCAGCCGACUAACAUGGGGAAGAAAGGAUUCAAAUGCACGGAGUGUGGGAAGAACUUCAGUCAUAGUGGACACCUCAAUAUACAUCUACGGACUCACACAGGGGAAAAACCAUUUAAAUGCAUGGAGUGCGGAAGGCAAUUCAGUCAAAGUGGAAGCCUAAAUAGGCACCAACUGACUCACACAGGGGAGAAACCAUAUGAAUGUAUGGAGUGUGGAAAGAGCUUUCGUGAUAAUGGAACCCUUAGAACACAUCAAC